GGAAACUAUAAUAACCCAUUGGAAGCCCCCUGGAGGUGUUUCCAGGCCCCUGGAAACUAUAAUAACCCAUUGGAAGCCACCUGGAGGUGUUUCCAGGCCCCUGGAGUUACCUGAACUCUGUGUAGGAACAGCCUCUCUGGCUGAUGGCUCUCAGCUUGGCCUCGUUCUCUCUCUUGUACUUCUGCUCGGACUCGAUCGCCCCCUGCAGCUCUCUCUCCAGCGCAGAGAAAUCGAUGACAUCACGCUCUGACCUCGCCAUCAUCUGGUGAUGUCACACAGGUACAGGUGAGUUUAAAGAAACAGGCUUCUGAUCAGCUUGUUGAAAAGCUGAUCACAUGAUCUGUUACAGCUGAUUACAUCACUCUUUCAAAGUACUACAAUACCUGUACUUUAAAGAUACUUCGCUCAAAUACUGCAGUAACUACACUUUGUGUUUAUUUAAAAUCAGGUCCUCGUCGGUUUUGGAAUCACCUUGAAAAUAAGACGAUGCAUCUCAAGGGGGUUUACACUGAAAUACAGUAAUACUUUUUCAGAAGGCAGUGAUGGACUCAUUUUCAGAGGUUCUCCUAAAAACUCUGAAGAAGCUGAAAGAUGAUGAAUUUGAAGAAUUGAAACACCACCUGAAGAGUCGCAAAGUAACAACAGAAGGUGGACAUGUUCUGGAAAUUUCUCCCUGUGACCUGGAGAAGGCAGACAGAAUGAGGACGGUAGAUCUGAUUGUUUCCAAUGAGCAUUAAAGAUAAAAUUAAAAAUUCUGAAGGGUUACAUCCCAAGAGCAUUAAAUAUAUAAUUAAAAAUUGGAAGGGUUACAUCCCAAGAGCAUUAAAGAUAAAAUUAAAAAUUGGAAGGGUUACAUCCCAAGAGCAUUAAAGAUAAAAUUAAAAAUUGGAAGGGUUACAUCCCAAGAGCAUUAAAGAUGAAAUUAAAAAUUGGAAGGGUUACAUCCCAAGAGCAUUAAAGAUAAAAUUAAAAAUUCUGGAGGGUUACAUCCCAAGAGCAUUAAAGAUAAAAUAAAAAAUUCUGGAGGGUUACAUCCCAAGAGCAUUAAAGAUGAAAUUAAAAAUUGGAAGGGUUACAUCCCAAGAGCAUUAAAGAUAAAAUUAAAAAUUGGAAGGGUUACAUCCCAAGAGCAUUAAAGAUAAAAUUAAAAAUUGGAAGGGUUACAUCCCAAGAGCAUUAAAGAUAAAAU